AGUGAACGCUGGCGGUAGGCCUAACACAUGCAAGUCGAACGGCAGCACAGUAAGAGCUUGCUCUUACGGGUGGCGAGUGGCGGACGGGUGAGGAAUACAUCGGAAUCUACUUUUUCGUGGGGGAUAACGUAGGGAAACUUACGCUAAUACCGCAUACGACCUACGGUUGAAAGCAGGGGAUCUUCGGACCUUGCGCGAUUGAAUUAGCCGAUGUCGGAUUAGCUAGUUGGCGGGGUAAAGGCCCACCAAGGCGACGAUACGUAGCUGGUCUGAGAGGCUGAUCAGCCACACUGGAACUGGGACACGGUCCAGACUCCUACGGGAGGAAGCAGUGGGGAAUAUGGGACAAUGGGCGCAAGCCUGAUCCAGCCAUACCGCGUGUGUGAAAGAGGCCUUCGGUUUGUAAAGCCCUUUUGUUGGUAAAGAAAAGCAGCAGGUUAAUACCCCGCUGUUCUGACGGUACCCAAAAAAUAAGCACCGGCUAACUUCGUG
rnacentral:rRNA from 1 species